rnacentral:rRNA from 1 species
UACGUAGGGGGCAAGCGUUGUCCGGAAUCAUUGGGCGUAAAGCGCGUGUAGGCGGCCCGGUAAGUCCGCUGUGAAAGUCGGGGGCUCAACCCUCGAAUGCCGGUGGAUACUGUCGGGCUAGAGUGCGGAAGAGGCGAGUGGAAUUCCUGGUGUAGCGGUGGAAUGCGCAGAUAUCAGGAGGAACACCAAUAGCGAAGGCAGCUCGCUGGGACGUUACUGACACUGAGGCGCGAAAGCGUGGGGAGCGAACAGG